CAAAUAAAACUCCAAGCGCACGUUCAUCCCUCUCUCGCCGUCCAUUCACCGUGACUCAUCGCGCCGGCGGCCGUCGCCGGCGCUGGUGUUGGCUUAUGCCUAACCACCACUACCAUCAGAUGUGCCGUGCCAACCCAAAUACGAACAUGGAAAUUGAAUUAUGAGACAGUUCCUGUACCGGUUGAAUCGAACCACUAAAUGGAAGAACCCUAACGAUCUACUAGUUAAAUUAAAUUGUGCUUUGUGCAAAUCAAUUCCUAGUACUACGGGGCUUCCAUUUCCUACCUCAGAUACUACAAAUUAGUGUUCUUGAAGCAAGAAAAUGCCACUGAAUAAGAAAUGACAUACCGAAGAAGAUGAUCGAAGAAUCCACCGAGUGUAUGGUGCAUUUCAAUGCCUGUCUGGUUGGCUAGUGUAGCAGGUAAGCAUGGUUCAGGACUUAUGUGUUGCUGCUUUGACCUAUUGCAGGUGUUCAUAUGCAUGAUAGUUACGACAUGUAUGGUGUGUCAUAGCAUAAUUCUUGACUUGGUUCUACAGGUACUUGAUGAAUAAGGGCUCAUGCUUGGUUCCAUGGUAAGGCAUAAUUUGGAUCCUUUACCAUUAUGCUCAUAUGCUGCAAAAAAAGGGGUUCUGCAGUGGGAUAUUUGCUCAUGAUGCUUCCUUGUUCAUGGCUUCCAGUUUGUACAUAGAAAGUGGUGGUGUCCAAGAAUUAACUCAAGUGCUUGUUAUGUUGAAACUGCUGCUGCGUCAAGGUGAUGCACUCAAUCUGCUGAUGUUUCCUUGUGUCUCACUAUUGUUUUAUUUCAGUAGGGUCACAUUCUAUUGAUAUGAUCACGACCUUUUCCAAUGAUUUAUGUGGGAUAUGGCUGCAAACUGUUGCAUAUAGGUUGAGUCUCAAGAGUUAUGAGCAUGGUUCAACCUGAGUUGGAGACAUGUUUGGUUUUAAGUCUAAUGUUAUGCUUCACACUGCACCAGUCUUGGCAUGUUAUAUCUCAAAGGGCAGCAUUAUGUACUGCCAAGGUUUGCACCAGGUGGUCACAACUCAACCAUGUUUUGGAUUGGUCUGGCAUCAUGGCUUUGAGCUUUGCAUUAACCUUCCGUUGUAGGGAAAAUCUCUGUGACCUUGACCCUGGGUUUGUUGCCUUGCAAAUCAAAGUUUCACUUGCUUCACCAUUUGACUAGCUUUUGGUUGUGGGUUGGCUUUUCUGCAGGAUAGGUUAUGGUUGCUGCAGCAGGAUUAUAGAGGUUGCAUGUUGCAAUGGUCUGAUAUUAAAGAUGUUGAACCAUUUGGAUGCCUGAUUGUCAUGAUGAUGUAGCAGUACUAACUGUGUUUAAGAUGGCUAUGGCCUAUUUUUAUUGAUGGACAAAAUGCCACUCAAAGGCUCAAGAUGAUGCAGGCAUAUGGUUGCAAUCAGUCAUGGGAUGCUACAGGGUUGUUGAACAUGUACACUGCAGCAAGCCAGGGCAAUAACUGAUGUAUCAUACAUUACCUUAUGAUGGGUCCAAGCUUUUCAUUGUAGCAUGAAAUUGAAUUUGUAUUAGGCAUUAGAUGAUGGAUUUAUGAUGCUGCAGCGUGCUGUAUUAAGAUCUGGUUCAGGGCAAACUAAGGCCAAGACUUGAUGAGCCAACAUGUCAAACAAUGCUUGGUAUGCAUGAGCUAGAAACAAAACCGUUUACUUGGAAAUGAAGCAACAAAAAGAUAACACAACCAAUCAUGGAAAUUGGAUGAAGAAUCAAGGCAAAGGCUAGAUUAGGUUUUUUGGAUGACCAGAACUGGGGAGGUUGACUUUGGUCAAAGUUGACCAAAAAGUCAACCGUUGACCAAAGUCAACAAAAUGUCAAAAUUCAAAUUUCUUUGUAUUUUCUUUAUAAAUGGACAUUGAAUUAGUGGUUAGGGUGAAAUUUAGGGCAUUAGGGUUUUGGGCUGACUUUGGUCAAAGUUGACCAAAAAGUCAACUGUUGACCAAAGUCAACAAUUGGUCAAAAAUAUCAAAUUUUGUAUUUUGUUAUGUAGAAUCAUAUGUAAUGGUUUAAAAUGACAUGGAAUGAACUGAAAUGGAUUAACAAAUGGUUUUAUGUUA